rnacentral:rRNA from 1 species
CGGGAGGCAGCAGUUAGGAAUCUUCGGCAAUGGGGGAAACCCUGACCGAGCGACACUGCGUGGAGGAUGAAGGUUUUCGGAUCGUAAACUCCUGAACGAGGGACGAAAAAUGACGGUACCUCGCUAAUAGCACCGGCUAACUCCGUGCCAGCAGCCGCGGUAAUACGGAGGGUGCGAGCGUUAUCCGGAAUCACUGGGCGUAAAGGGCGCGUAGGCGGCUUGUCAAGUCCGAUGUUAAAGCGUGAGGCUCAACCUCAUCACGGCGUUGGAUACUAGCAAGCUUGACGGUUGGAGAGGAAGGUAGAAUUACCAGUGUAGCGGUGGAAUGCGUAGAUACUGGUAGGAAUACCCAUUGCGAAGGCAGCCUUCUGGACAACACGUGACGCUGAGGCGCGAAAGUGUGGGGAGCAAACCGGAUUAGAUACCCGGGUAGUCCACACCCUAAAC